rnacentral:rRNA from 1 species
AACGAACGCUGGCGGCAUGCCUAACACAUGCAAGUCGAACGAGACCUUCGGGUCUAGUGGCGCACGGGUGCGUAACGCGUGGGAACCUGCCCUUAGGUUCGGGAUAACUCCCCGAAAGGGGUGCUAAUACCGGAUAAUGUCUUCGGACCAAAGAUUUAUCGCCUUUGGAUGGGCCCGCGUUGGAUUAGCUAGUUGGUAGGGUAAAAGCCUACCAAGGCGACGAUCCAUAGCUGGUCUGAGAGGAUGAUCAGCCACACUGGGACUGAGACACGGCCCAGACUCCUACGGGAGGCAGCAGUGGGGAAUAUUGGACAAUGGGCGAAAGCCUGUUCCAGCAAUGCCGCGUGAGUGAUGAAGGCCUUAGGGUUGUAAAGCUCUUUUACCCGGGAUGAUAAUGACAGUACCGGGAGAAUAAGCUCCGGCUAACUCCGUG